GUUAGGAAUAUUGCGCAAUGGAGGCAACUCUGACGCAGCCAUGCCGCGUGCAGGAAGAAGGCGCUACGCGUUGUAAACUGCUUUUAACCGGGAAGAAACCCCAGGACGUGUCCUGGGUUGACGGUACCGGAGGAAUAAGCACCGGCUAACUUCGUGCCAGCAGCCGCGGUAAUACGAAGGGUGCAAGCGUUAUCCGGAUUCAUUGGGUUUAAAGGGUGCGUAGGCGGAGCGUUAAGUGAGUGGUGAAAUCCUGCAGCUUAACUGUAGACUUGCCAUUGAUACUGGCGCUCUUGAGUGCGCUUGAAGUGGGCGGAAUGUGCCGUGUAGCGGUGAAAUGCUUAGAUAUGGCACAGAACACCAAUUGCGAAGGCAGCUCACUAAGGCGAUACUGACGCUGAGGCACGAAAGCGUGGGGAUCGAACAGGAUUAGAAACCCUAGUAGUCC
rnacentral:rRNA from 1 species